CCUAGCUCACCGCUCACUCAAGCACGCUGCGAAACACAUACACACACAGAUCGAAGCGGAGGAUGAAGGUGGAGGUGGUGGAGACGACGCUGGUGCCGCCGAGCGAGGCGACGCCGCGGCACGCGCUGUGGCUGUCCAACCUGGACCUGGCGGUGCCCAAGACCCACACGCCGCUCGUCUACUACUACCCGAGGCCCGCCGGCGCCGGUGCCGGGGAGGAGGGAGAGGGAGAAGGAGGAGAAGGGUCGUUCUUCGACCCGGCGCGGCUGCGGGAGGCGCUGUCCAGGGCGCUGGUGCCCUUCUACCCGCUGGCGGGGCGGCUGGCGGCCGGCCCGGGCGGCCGGAUCGAGAUCGACUGCACCGGCGAGGGCGCGCUGUUCUGCGUCGCGCGGGCCGACUUCACCGGCGACGAGAUGUUCGCCGACUUCGAGCCCUCCCCCGAGGCGCGCCGCCUGCUCGUGCCCUUCGCCGCGUCCGGCGACCCGCCCUGCGUGCUCGCCAUGGUCCAGGUGACCUUCCUCAAGUGCGGCGGCGUGGCCGUGGGCACGGGCAUGCACCACGUGACGAUGGACGGCGCCGGCGCGAUCCAGUUCAUCCGGGCGUGGACGGCGCUGGCGCGCGGGGAGGCCCCCGCGUGGACGCCGUCGCACGACCGGACGCUCCUGCGCGCGCGCUCCCCGCCGCACGUCCCCGCCUGCGAGCACCCGGUCUACUCCCCGGCCUACCUCAACGGGGCGCCGCGGCCCUUCGUGACGCGCGUCUACGCCGUGCCGCCCAAGCUGCUGGCAGGCAUCCGGUCGCGCUGCGCGCCGGGCGCGUCCACGUACUGCGCGGUCACGGCGCACCUGUGGCGCGCCAUGUGCGUCGCCCGGGGCCUCCCGGCGGCCAGCGACACGCGGCUGCGCGUCCCGGCCAACGUCCGGCAGCGCCUGCGCCCGCCGCUCCCGGCGUCCUACUUCGGCAACGCCAUCGUGCGGGACCUGGUCACCGUGCGGGUGGGCGACGUGCUGUCGCAGCCGCUGGGCUUCGUGGCGGAGCGGAUCAAGCGCGCGGUGGCCCGCGUCGACGACGCCCGCGUGCGCUCCGUCGUCGACUACCUGGAGCUUGAGUCGGACAAGGGCAACCAGGCGGCGCGCGGCCAGUUCAUGCCCGAGUCCGACCUGUGGGUCGUCAGCUGGCUCGGCAUGCCCAUCCACGACGCCGACUUCGGCUGGGGCCGCCCCGGGUUCGUGGCCCCCGCGCAGAUGUUCGGCAGCGGCACGGCGUACGUCACGCAGGGACGCGACAAGGACGACCCCAUCAACGUGCUCUUCGCGCUCGAGCCAGAGUACCUGAACACCUUCGAGAAGGCCUUCUACGGGGAGUGACCGUGACCCGACCACGACCAGCCAUGGCGAGGAGUCUGAUGACGAUAGGAUGUGAUUGUGAUGCCAUGCCGUUGUGGCAUCUCCCGGGGUGUGCACACUGUUAUACCAU
rnacentral:misc_RNA from 1 species